UGAAAUUCCAUCUCAAAAAAAAAAAAAAAAAAAAAAAGAGUACACCCAUCCUACUGGACAAGGGUUUAUCCUAGUGACCUCAGCCUACCUUGAUUCCAUCUGGAAAAACCCUAUUUCCAAAUAAGGACACAUUCACAUGAACUGGGGGUAGGACCUCAACAUAUCUUUAAGGGGAUGCAACUCAAAUGUACCCACAGCUAGGACACAAGCAAACACACCUUACAGACAGAAUGCCUUCAAGGCCGGGAUCCGGAAGGGUCUACAGCUGUUCUCUAGCUUCAUUAACAGCAUCUAUCUGUAUACUUAAGAAAAAGUACAUUCCCUUCCCACAGAAGGGAAGCAGUAAGGGAAACAUGGGAAGUUCUAAAAUCAGAGAGCCCAAGACAGCUGCAUGAAUGUGCCCCUGUUCAGGAAGGGUUGCUCCUGAAGGGGAAGGGUGCUUGGCUCCAAUGGCUAAUGUCCCCUGUAUGUGAAGCAUGUGACGCCUUCCCCCUGCUUUGAUUCCACACUCACUUAGCAAUCAUUGGAAUUAAUUUGGUCCUAACAGGAAUUCCUCUUACAGGGAAAGAGAAGAUGAUGCAACAUUAUAUCAGUGCUUUAUGAGUCAGGUUAAUGGGGCUCCACACUGAGAGAGGCUGGUCAGCUGUGAAGGUGCUGGGCCGUCAGAUUUGAGUCUGAAAGAUCAGGAAUCUGGAGUUCUGGCAGCAAAGUGCUACCCUCCAAGGAUGCAGGCCAGCGUUGGGACGACCGUCCAGACUUCGGAGGCUACCUGGUGAGUUGCUGCAGAAGAGGAACAUGAGAGCACGAGAAACGUUCACGGUUCAAGACCAGCCUGUUCCUGGUCUUUGCGUUGUGACGGAGUUGGCACUGCUUCCCUGGCUUGCCCCCAGCCCUCUGCCUCUUAUCAUGGCUGCUCUCGGAGGUGUCUGUUCUCAAUUUCCUCCUUCUCUCAUUUUGAUUCUUCACUGCAUGCUGGUGCUUCACACGCUGACUACUGUGUGCUCCUGUCUCUCUGAACAUCCAAGGCCCUCUAAAAUCUGACCCUAGGCAGCCAUGUCUCUUCAUCCCGUAGGCACACAAAUGCUCUGCUGUCCCCAAGCGAAUGUUGACUAUGAAGGGUACCAUCACCUGUGCUUGUUUUCUAGGGCACUCAUCGGACACUCAGCAUAUGACAUGGAUUAUUCCAGGCUCUGGGAAGAGAAUAGCUCUUCCUUUGCAUGCCUGUGCUUAAUGCAGUCUUGAGGCAGACGAGUGCUCAGUGUAUGUUUGUUGGUGGCCGUUAGAUGCAAAAAAAGGAAUCACGACAGGAUAUCAUAAGCAGAAGACUGGCUAACUGGCUCCAAAUAAUGCAAAACUUAGCAUUACUGUGUAAGUUUACGGUAGCUCGACUCCAGUUUGAUAACUUACAAAAGUUUCAAGUACAGACACAUGAAUGUCAGUUUACUCACUACCAGACUUAAUUCAUCUCUUUUCUCUACCCCAGAUCAGGAAAUGUAACUCCUGGGAUCAAAGCAGAAACCUUUCCCUGAAUAUUAAUGGACAAACUCUGUCGAUCUCUCAUUAUUAUUUUUUUGACACAGUGUCUCACACUAUCACCCAGGCUGGAAUGCAGUGGUGCCAUCAAUGGCUUAUCUAAGGCACAAGCCAUCACCUCAACCUGGGACUACAGGUAUGUGCCACCAUGCCCGGCUAAUUUUUU